GCGGCGUUAGCGCCUUGUCUCUGUUGGCACCGUUAGCCUACGUCAGGGGAGGAUCUGGGCACCGAGUGGGGGGUCCCCCAGGGCCAUCUUCCGCCUGGGGUCCGCCUCUGUCCUCAGCGCCGCACAUGCUUUUUGCUCCGCCACCCCCUCCCGCUCCUUUGGGGAAGUGCGACUUCAGACCAACUGCAGGGCGGUCGGUGACGCGGUUGGAGACCCUGAACGUAAUGAACGUCAGCCCCGGGGGCCUGGUGGUAAGGCGGGAGUCCUCGUCCGUGUCUGCGGCGUUUAGCAAUAAAACAGAGGUGGUGAGUUGA